CUUUUCAGCACACGUGCUGGACUUUCUCCUUCAUAGUUCUCAUCACAACAACUGUUGGGGGGAAAGCCAGCAAUUGUUAAAUCUCUGGCAAAUGUGACAAUCCUCACCAGAAAUGGCUGUCACUGCUGUCAAGGUGCACGGGACGUUACGUUUGCCGUUGUCGGAGCAUGUUCGUUGAUUGUAGACGUCAGUCCUAGCAUAAACCCAAACUCAGCACACACGUAAGGACUCUGAGUGCAGCUACCAGGCAUUCCCUCCGUGAAACAAGGGUCCUCGACAGUGCGGUUACGAAAGCUCAUGAAGUCAGGAGCUGGGGCAGCCAUCUUGCAAGCAUGAGGAGGCAAACCUGAAGACAAAAGCCAGCAAUGCUGAGGAUGGAGAAGCCAAAAGCUGCCGUACCGCGAGCUGCCUUGUAGGGAGGCCUAUGUGGCCGAGAACUGAGGGAGACCCCCAAACAAUAGCCAGUGAGGAGCUGAGACCCUCAGUCCAACAGUCUGCAAGAAAUAGCAUGCUGCCAACAAUCACACGCAUUGACGUGGAAGAGGGGUCUCUCCCAGUCAAACCUUCGGAUGGGACCACAGCCCUGGACGACAGAUUAACCGCAACCUCAUGAGAUCCCUGGAGCCAGAAGCUCCCAGCUAAGCCAUGCCUGGAUUCAUAAUCCACAAGAAUUGUAACAUAAUAAAGGAUUAUUGUAAGCUGC